AAAACUAACCGUAAUAUUUCAUGUCAGUGCAGCUUUGGUGAGCAUAAGAGAUUUUGUUUCAAAACAUUAAAUAAUCUUACACGUUUUUUUUUUUUUUUUUUUUUUUUUUUUUUUUUUUUUUUUUUUUUUUUUUUUUUUUUUUUUUUUUUUUUUUUUUUUUUUUUUUUUUUUUUUUUUUUUUUUUUUUUUUUUUUUUUUUUUUUUUUUUUUUUUUUUUUUUUUUUUUUUUUUUUUUUUUUUUUUUUUUUUUUUUUUUUUUUUUUUUUUUUUUUUUUUUUUUUUUUUUUUUUUUUUUUUUUUUUUUUUUUUUUUUUUUUUUUUUUUUUUUUUUUUUUUUUUUUUUUUUUUUUUUUUUUUUUUUUUUUUUUUUUUUUUUUUUUUUUUUUUUUUUUUUUUUUUUUUUUUUUUUUUUUUUUUUUUUUUUUUUUUUUUUUUUUUUUUUUUUUUUUUUUUUUUUUUUUUUUUUUUUUUUUUUUUUUUUUUUUUUUUUUUUUUUUUUUUUUUUUUUUUUUUUUUUUUUUUUUUUUUUUUUUUUUUUUUUUUUUUUUUUUUUUUUUUUUUUUUUUUUUUUUUUUUUUUUUUUUUUUUUUUUUUUUUUUUUUUUUUUUUUUUUUUUUUUUUUUUUUUUUUUUUUUUUUUUUUUUUUUUUUUUUUUUUUUUUUUUUUUUUUUUUUUUUUUUUUUUUUUUUUUUUUUUUUUUUUUUUUUUUUUUUUUUUUUUUUUUUUUUUUUUUUUUUUUUUUUUUUUUUUUUUUUUUUUUUUUUUUUUUUUUUUUUUUUUUUUUUUUUUUUUUUUUUUUUUUUUUUUUUUUUUUUUUUUUUUUUUUUUUUUUUUUUUUUUUUUUUUUUUUUUUUUUUUUUUUUUUUUUUUUUUUUUUUUUUUUUUUUUUUUUUUUUUUUUUUUUUUUUUUUUUUUUUUUUUUUUUUUUUUUUUUUUUUUUUUUUUUUUUUUUUUUUUUUUUUUUUUUUUUUUUUUUUUUUUUUUUUUUUUUUUUUUUUUUUUUUUUUUUUUUUUUUUUUUUUUUUUUUUUUUUUUUUUUUUUUUUUUUUUUUUUUUUUUUUUUUUUUUUUUUUUUUUUUUUUUUUUUUUUUUUUUUUUUUUUUUUUUUUUUUUUUUUUUUUUUUUUUUUUUUUUUUUUUUUUUUUUUUUUUUUUUUUUUUUUUUUUUUUUUUUUUUUUUUUUUUUUUUUUUUUUUUUUUUUUUUUUUUUUUUUUUUUUUUUUUUUUUUUUUUUUUUUUUUUUUUUUUUUUUUUUUUUUUUUUUUUUUUUUUUUUUUUUUUUUUUUUUUUUUUUUUUUUUUUUUUUUUUUUUUUUUUUUUUUUUUUUUUUUUUUUUUUUUUUUUUUUUUUUUUUUUUUUUUUUUUUUUUUUUUUUUUUUUUUUUUUUUUUUUUUUUUUUUUUUUUUUUUUUUUUUUUUUUUUUUUUUUUUUUUUUUUUUUUUUUUUUUUUUUUUUUUUUUUUUUUUUUUUUUUUUUUUUUUUUUUUUUUUUUUUUUUUUUUUUUUUUUUUUUUUUUUUUUUUUUUUUUUUUUUUUUUUUUUUUUUUUUUUUUUUUUUUUUUUUUUUUUUUUUUUUUUUUUUUUUUUUUUUUUUUUUUUUUUUUUUUUUUUUUUUUUUUUUUUUUUUUUUUUUUUUUUUUUUUUUUUUUUUUUUUUUUUUUUUUUUUUUUUUUUUUUUUUUUUUUUUUUUUUUUUUUUUUUUUUUUUUUUUUUUUUUUUUUUUUUUUUUUUUUUUUUUUUUUUUUUUUUUUUUUUUUUUUUUUUUUUUUUUUUUUUUUUUUUUUUUUUUUUUUUUUUUUUUAAUGUUCCAAACUUUAAAUAUAGUGUAA
rnacentral:lncRNA from 12 species